GAGUGAACGCUGGCGGCAGGCCUAACACAUGCAAGUCGAGCGGCAGCGGGUCCUUCGGGCUGCCGGCGAGCGGCGGACGGGUGAGGAAUGCAUCGGAAUCUGCCCUGUCGUGGGGGAUAACCUAGGGAAACUUAGGCUAAUACCGCAUACGACCCACGGGUGAACGCGGGGGAUCGCACAACCUCGCGCGAUAGGAUGAGCCGAUGUCCGAUUAGCUAGUUGGCGGGGUAAAGGCCCACCAAGGCGACGAUCGGUAGCUGGUCUGAGAGGAUGAUCAGCCACACUGGGACUGAGACACGGCCCAGACUCCUACGGGAGGCAGCAGUGGGGAAUAUUGGACAAUGGGCGCAAGCCUGAUCCAGCCAUGCCGCGUGGGUGAAGAAGGCCUUCGGGUUGUAAAGCCCUUUUGUCCGGGAAGAAAUCGUCUGGGCUAAUACCCCGGGCGGAUGACGGUACCGGAAGAAUAAGCACCGGCUAACUUCGUG
rnacentral:rRNA from 1 species